CAUUUCAUGUCCACCGUCCACCCCCCGCCCAGUACUAACUUACUAAGAGGAAGGUGGUGAAAUCUUUAUCAUUGAAUCACUAGUAGUACUAUUGAAUCCAUGAUAAAGAUUUCACCCCCCCCCUUCCUCAUUCCAUGCACUUAUCUGGUCCUGAGAGCUCCUCUCUCUUUCCUCCCGCGCAGCAUCUGCAAAGAGUGCUGGAAGGAAGUGACGUCAUUGCGUGUGACCUCGCUUCCUCACAGCGCUGGGAGGGGAGGGAGAGAGGGAGGGAGAGUUGCCGCUCGCACAUCUCCAACAGCGGGUGAAAAAAUGGGGGCCCGCGGCGCUGGCAUAGUGGGGAAGCCAGUGGGGCCCCUCUUCACUAUUAUGGGGCCCAGCUCAUUCCAGGACAUUACAUUGUCCCGGAAUGAAGGUGCCCAGGACCCAGGAUAGACUCACAAAAUGCGGGACUGUCCUGGGCGAUCCGGGACACGUGGGCACCCUAGAUUAGGCACACGCCGUGAGCCCGCCUAUGAUUGCAUCAAACAUUAUGUCGAUUGUGACUACUUGGCAAGACUUCACAGAUUGAAACUAUUUAGCCUUAAAGCAAACAACAGCACCAUAUUUUAAAAGAUACAAAUUUUAAGGUAUAUCAGCGCUAAACCAAGCGCAACUACAAACCACCCAAGUGUGUUGUCACCCUCACACUUAAUACAUACGUAAAUAGAAUUCAAAUCAAGGUAGUUUGCGCACCAAUUGGUAAAACAAGUCUCACAGUGUACUGUUACAUGUAUAUCCUGUAAGAUAAAAUAUAC